UUUACUUCGUAAUCUCUAGAAAUGAAUAUAUUUUAUUCAAGAUAAGCAAACUUCACAUUCAAAGAAUUCCUCAACUAUGUGAAUAAUUUUUGAGUUGAAACAGUCAGAAUGAUAAUAAUUGGACAUUUUAAUGAACUAUUCAAUUAAGUACUUGAAGCAACAUCUUCAUUUUAACAAAAAUUCAACAAUUUCAAAUUAUUAUUUUUAUGUAGUCAGUAUAAGAAUCAUACACAUACACACACAUCUCGAAUGCCAAUGCUCAGAUAUGUUUCCAAAGGUGCAGUGUCUCCAUCUUUAUUUACCAACGACUGAGGAGACAUCUUCUAGAAGCUUCAGAAAUUGAGACUAGCGCCGUCUAUGAAACGCGCAAAAAAAUGAAGUUACAAACUUGUUUGAAACAAAUUAUCUUAGUUAACAUUGAACGCAAAAGUUUCAACAAUUAAAUAACAAUUUAACUUAUAAUUUUUUUACUGAAUUAAAGAUAAACUUAUAUUAUUAUAAUAUAUCUAAUACCUGACACUGUGUUUACAAAAUAGUAAUUUUAUUAUGAUUAAUUUUAUUAAUUUUUUAACUAUGCCAUUGAUACUAUGAGGCAAAGUCAUAACAAUACUCGAAUGUAUAUUUGUUUUCUCAGAUAUGGAAAAGAAUAAGAAAUAAACUUUGAGGUAAAUAUAA